CAGGCCUAACACAUGCAAGUCGAACGCUGAAGCAUCCAGCUUGCUGGGUGUGGAUGAGUGGCGAACGGGUGAGUAACACGUGAGUAACCUGCCCCUGACUUCGGGAUAAGCCUGGGAAACUGGGUCUAAUACCGGAUAUGACUACUGGCCGCAUGGUCUGGUGGUGGAAAGGGUUUUACUGGUUGGGGAUGGACUCGCGGCCUAUCAGUUUGUUGGUGGGGUAGUGGCCUACCAAGACGACGACGGGUAGCCGGCCUGAGAGGGCGACCGGCCACACUGGGACUGAGACACGGCCCAGACUCCUACGGGAGGCAGCAGUGGGGAAUAUUGCACAAUGGGGGGAACCCUGAUGCAGCGACGCCGCGUGCGGGAUGACGGCCUUCGGGUUGUAAACCGCUUUCAGUAGGGAAGAAGCGAAAGUGACGGUACCUGCAGAAGAAGUACCGGCUAACUACGUGCCAGCAGCCGCGGUAAUACGUAGGGUACAAGCGUUGUCCGGAAUUAUUGGGCGUAGAGAGCUCGUAGGUGGUUGGUCACGUCUGCUGUGGAAACGCAACGCUUAACGUUGCGCGUGCAGUGGGUACGGGCUGACUAGAGUGCAGUAGGGGAGUCUGGAAUUCCUGGUGUAGCGGUGAAAUGCGCAGAUAUCAGGAGGAACACCGGUGGCGAAGGCGGGACUCUGGGCUGUAACUGACGCUGAGGAGCGAAAGCAUGGGGAGCGAACAGGAUUAGAUACCCUGGUAGUCCAUG
rnacentral:rRNA from 1 species